rnacentral:rRNA from 1 species
GAUGAACGCUGGCGGCGUGCCUAAUACAUGCAAGUCGAGCGAACAGACGAGGAGCUUGCUCCUCUGACGUUAGCGGCGGACGGGUGAGUAACACGUGGAUAACCUACCUAUAAGACUGGGAUAACUUCGGGAAACCGGAGCUAAUACCGGAUAAUAUAUUGAACCGCAUGGUUCAAUAGUGAAAGACGGUUUUGCUGUCACUUAUAGAUUGAUCCGCGCCGCAUUAGCUAGUUGGUAAGGUAACGGCUUACCAAGGCGACGAUGCGUAGCCGACCUGAGAGGGUGAUCGGCCACACUGGAGCUGAGACACGGUCCAGACUCCUACGGGAGGCAGCAGUAGGGAAUCUUCCGCAAUGGGCGAAAGCCUGACGGAGCAACGCCGCGUGAGUGAUGAAGGUCUUCGGAUCGUAAAACUCUGUUAUUAGGGAAGAACAAAUGUGUAAGUAACUAUGCACGUCUUGACGGUACCUAAUCAGAAAGCCACGGCUAACUACGUG